rnacentral:lncRNA from 1 species
CUCUUCUUCUUUUCCCUUUUGCGCUUUGCGUCUUCUCCUCUUCUUCCUUCUUCUUACUCUUAUCAUUGAAGCUUUCUCUUAUUGCAGGUUGAAUCAUGGUUCAACUCCAAUACUCCCUCUUUAAACUUUGGUUGAAACUCCCAAAUCAGUAUAAGGAUUUUGACAUCGACGUGGUGCUUUCUUAACCGGAAACAACGACGAAUCACCACCUUCUACGGCGAGCAUCUCUCUCCGCGUAGGUAUUCUUUCAACUUAUGGCUAAACAAACCUUAAAAUCGUUUCCAAACACGCAGACCGUUGGAAGUAGGAUUGAGUUUUGUUGGAGAAGGAUCCUUAGAAGAAAGAAAUUAGCCAUGGAUCGAUGACCCGAAGCUGUCCAACGGAGAUCCCAUCCCACCGGGUGAAUUCAAAGGCUAUGCCGUGAACUAGGAUGAUUCAGAGGAGCUAUCACUAUACUCAGGAAUCAGGUACAAUUGAUUUCGGUUUGGUUUUUAAUGGUUUUCGAAUUACAAUUGAUUUUGGUUUGGUUUAAAUUGGUU